rnacentral:rRNA from 1 species
GACAAACGCUGGCGGCAUGCCUAACACAUGCGAGUCGAACGGACAGAACAGGGAAGCUUUUCGGAGUGGAACUGGAAAGUUAGUGGCGGAUGGGUGAGUAACGCGUGGACAACCUACCUUGUAAAGGGGAAUAACCUCGAGAAAUCGAAGCUAAUACCCCAUAAUAACCUUGCUUCGCAUGAAGUAAGGAGGAAAGGCGGCCUUAGCGCUGUCGAUACAAGAUGGGUCCGCGUCUGAUUAGCUAGUUGGUGAGGUAAAGGCUCACCAAGGCGACGAUCAGUAGCCGGCCUGAGAGGGUGAACGGCCACAUUGGGACUGAGACACGGCCCAAACUCCUACGGGAGGCAGCAGUGGGGAAUCUUCCGCAAUGGGCGAAAGCCUGACGGAGCAAUGCCGCGUGAGUGAAGAAGGCCUUCGGGUUGUAAAACUCUGUCCUUAUCGAAGAGAGAGUGUUGUAGUAACUGACAAUACUAGGACGGUAGAUGAGGAGGAAGCCCCGGCUAACUAUGUG